GGCUAGUCCAAGUGCAGUGGUGUUUACAACUAAUUGAUCACAACCAGUUACAGAUUUCUUUGUUCCUUCUCCACUCCCACUGCUUCACUUGACUAGCCUAAA
rnacentral:Y_RNA from 1 species